rnacentral:rRNA from 1 species
CCUACGGGAGGCAGCAGUAAGGAAUAUUGGGCAAUGGAGGCAACUCUGACCCAGCCAUGCCGCGUGAAGGAUGAAGGCCCUAUGGGUUGUAAACUUCUUUUGUAUGGGAAUAAACGCAGUUACGUGUAACUGUUUGAAUGUACCAUAAGAAUAAGCACCGGCUAACUCCGUGCCAGCAGCCGCGGUAAUACGGAGGGUGCAAGCGUUAUCCGGAUUUAUUGGGUUUAAAGGGAGCGUAGGCGGGAUUGUAAGUCAGUGGUGAAAGCCCGUAGCUCAACUACGGAACUGCCAUUGAUACUGCAGACCCUAGAGUACACUUGAAGUGGGCGGAAUGUGUCAUGUAGCGGUGAAAUGCUUAGAUAUGACACAGAACACCAAUUGCGAAGGCAGCUCACUAAAUUGUAACUGACGCUGAGGCUCGAUAGCGUUGGGGAUCAAACAGGAUUAGAUACCCUGGUAGUCCACGACGUAACGAUAGAUACUCAUGUGUGAUACACUGUCNGCGUCGU